ACAAAAGAGGGAAGAAGUGAGGUUCUAUACGGGGUGAACUGCGCAUGCGCGUAAGUGUGCCGCGGCGUGCAGCGCCCGCUCCUCUUUUGACUGCGCAUGCGUCAAGGCGAGCUGCAUCAGGCGCUCUCCAGAACAGUGGAAGAAGAGCAGAGAGGGACCAAAUUAGUUUCCUGUGGAUGAAGGUUCACUACAUGGGAGCAGUAACCAAGGACUUUAUUCCACCAGAUGGUUGCGCUAGAGGCUGGAGGAGGCAAUCCUGUGUGGUGUGGGAGUGACAACAAAAUACAUUUGAGAGGACCAAGUAGCAGAUGAAAAAUAUUGGAAAAAUAUACCCAUACUCCAGCAGAAGAGAGGCGAUAUCUCAGGAUGAAAGCCAGGACAUGUAUGGCUGAGCAGCAUCAAAGUGUGGACAAAAGCAUUUGGGCAGGCAACAAAAGGACACGAGUUAAUAAAGAGGAAGAACACACAAAAGUGCUGUUGUUUUUGUUGUUGUAGUUUAUGUACUGAGUUCAGGAAAUCCUGAAAAGAACAAAAAACCUGGAAUCAAUCGAUACAAUGCUCUCCCUUUCUCGGUUCCUCACCCCCACGCCCCAUAUGAUAACUUUCCAACAUUGUAGACAUUUCCAAUUACAGUAAUUUAUAGUCAUCUCGCUUUCUCUGACCUCUUCUACUUCCAUAUAAAAUACAGAUUCUCUGUUUUCAACUGGAUUAUUUGGUAGUGUAGACUCAUAUAAUCCAGUUCAAAGCAGAUAAUGUGGAUUAUCUGUUUUGAUAAUCUGGAUUAUAUGGCAGUGUAGAAGGGGCUUCAACUGCUUUAGUAAUGUCCCAGUUUUUCUCUUUGCCUCCCACUUUCCCUCUUUGUGGACAGCUUAUUUCAAUGGCAGCAGACUGAGCUCAAAAUGCAAAAGCAGUUUGUACUCCAUUUAGCACAGGGGGAGAGAAAGAAAGGAGUGGAGUCUUGCUCUUCACUGUAAAUUCAAGAAAAAACAAACUACAGCCUCUCCUACCUUUUGUGUUUGUCCCCAUUGCACUCACCCCAGUUUUCAUCUGUAAAAUGUUGAAGGGUACAGAUAUAACAUUUAAACUGUAGAUCAGAAGAUUCCACCUGAACAUCAGGAAGAACUUCCUCACUGUGAGGGCUGUUCGACAGUGGAACUCUCUGCCCCGGACUGUGGUGGAGGCUUCUUCUUUGGAGGCUUUUAAGCAGAGGCUGGAUGGCCAUCUGUCGGGGGUGCUUUGAAUGCGAUUUCCUGCUUCUUAGCGGGGGGUUGGACUGGAUGGCCCAUGAGGUCUCUUCCAACUCUACUAUUCUAUGAUUCUAUGAUUCUAUGAUUCUAUUACAAAAUACCUUAUUUCCCCAUUGCUAGUCCUGGAAAAUCCAGCAAGACGUACAGUAGGCCCUCCACAUUUGCUGGGGUUAGGGGCACAGAAAUCCUAAUUGUAAUUAAAAAAAAAACACUGUAUUUUGUAACCUAAGAAAACACCUUUCUAGGAAUGCCUGAGUCCCCUAGCACGAUUCUGUGGUCAGCGUAUGCCAGAAGUUGAUAUGGAGUCCUGUUGGAUGGCCUAGAGAUUCCUAGAGAAAAAACAUCUUAAUUCAAUCCACACCGGUUAUAACCACAAAUAUUAAGGGCUGACUCUAUUGAUCAUAACUAUUAUGGAGAAGCACCUCCCUUGAUUUUCCAGUUUAAAAUGUAAUGCAACUUAGAUGUACAAUGGAAGAUCAUGAUGGUUUUUUAUAGUUAUGGAUUAUGGCAUUUCCCCCGUUGCCAUAGUUCCUUCCUCAUAUUUCUGCAAACACAUACCCUGUAAACUUGCUUUAUUCAAAUAUGUGGGUUUUACAAAUAGAGAUGACGAGACUUGGUUGAAUAGACAGAGUUGCAAGGUUCUGGGCUAUGCCAGAGUUCCCUGUGAACUCCAAAGAAUUCCCCAACUUUGCCUAAAGCAGAGCAAAGCCAGAUUAAGGCAAGAAAACCCAGUAUAUUCAGUAGAAAUUCUUGUCUAUCAUGGCGAUAGCCAGUGGUAGAUUUAUUACUUUAGACAAUCCCCUAGUAUGUCUAAGGCCCCAUCUGCACCGCCAUGUAAUGCAGUUUGAACUGUAUUACUCGUAUAAUCAUCAGCGUCGACUCAUAGAAUGCAGAUUGAACCACAUUGAUCUUUGUGACUGUGUUUCCCCCUAUGAACCUGCACAAUCUCUUUGGUCAGCUGGGGAGGCCUUUUUCUCGUUCCCGCCCCCAUUGCAAGCUCGGCUGGUGGAAACGAAGGAGCGGACCUUCUCGGUUGUGGCCCCCCGGAUCUUGAACCUCCCUCGGUUGUGGCCCUCCCUUCCUAUGGAGAUCAGGCAGGCACCCAUCCUAGCAUCUUUUAAAAAGGAAUUAAAAACUUGGUUCUUCUGGUGCGCUUUUGCAUAACCUAGUCCCCAUGAUCUAAAUUUUAAAAAUCAAUGCAUUAUUUUUCACACUGUUCCACCUUCCCCUAUUUUUAACUGGACGUCCUUCCUCACUCCAGCUGUUGAGAAAUGCUCACACUUUGUCCUUUUCACCCUGAAGCACUUUAUAAUAUACUAGCUGUGCCCGGCCACGCGUUGCUGUGGCUUAGUCUGGUGGUGUUGUUCAGUCUACAUUAGGUUGUAUUGAUGCUGUGACCUCCACCCUUCUUUAUACUCACAUUAGUAGUAGUAUUUGAAGUCUGUUACCUUCUUCAAUUUUUGUCUUGAUUGAUAAUUGCUUGAGAUCCCUGUUGUCUUUGGUUUGUUGUUAGUUGUAAUGUCUGAUUCUGCUGAGUGCGGUUUAUAUUUUUAUUGUGGUACAAUAGUCUUUUUUUGUUUUGCCUGUGUAGGUGUUUAUUAUUGUUG